CAUCCAACUACCACCACUUUCUAAUAAACAAUUAUUUUGAUGGGAUAUGCAUUUGGAAUGUUAUUACUACAUUAGUAGAGCCUAUAAAAUAAGUUGUUAUACCAGUAUAUUUCUUUCUUUUCUUUCUUUUUUUUUAUUUUUAUGUCUUUCUCCCCCCCUUGAACUAUGACAUUGGUUCAGUUGCAAUGGUGAAUGACACUGUGGGUAUCAUGAUGAGUUGUGGAUACAGGGACCAGAGCUGUGAGAUUGACAUGAUCAUUGGACAGCGUUGAGACCAGAUUCAUCUCUGGAGGUAGAGGACUUCAGUAAGCAGCUCCAGGAGACCGUAAGAAUCCUAAGUGUGACAUCACUUUCCUCGUCUCGGAGGAUGGCAGUGGAAAAGGGCACUGACAUGGUAAUGGCGGUGGCACAGAAGCUGGCCAUAUCGCCCCGACUGUUAGAGGACAGCAGAGGAGGAUGAGGAAGAUGGAAAUGAAUAUGUUAGGUCAGAGGAGGCAUACUGGAAAGACCACUUGAAAUGCAGCACCAUAAAAAUGCCCCCCUCAAAUGCUUUUGUUGUACGGUACAUGCUAAACAGCUCACUCACUUUCUCCUACUGUAUGGAAAUUAAUGAAUUCAUUGAGGUUAACUUUUUUACAGUAGGCUAUUUUUUGUUGUUGUACAUGGUUAACUUUCAGCGAGGAAAUGCCCUUUUUCUUAAACUUCUGUGUGAAAUAUGUAUUAUGUAUAACAAAUGUUACAUUAUUUUAUACUAGAAUGAAAACUUGUAAUGGGUAAACUCUCACUGUAUUGCUAGUAUAUUUAGAGACCAGAUAUUUGAUACUUGGACAUCACUGCAGCUAUAUUUGAAUGGCAGCUUGGUAAUACAAUUAGUCUUGAAGUAAAAAUCUAUGAAUUUCAUGGUCAAGCCAAGUUCCACAGAAUGGAAAGAGACACAUGCUCACGCCCCCUGUUGGAGAAACUGUACAAAGGAACAUCAGGUCAUUAAAUCAAUGUUUUCCGCAAAGUUAUACAACUUUAGAAUAUUCAGUCACUCUUAAACAACAGACACCUUUCUGAACACGUGUUAUGUUAAUCAAAACUUACUGCAAAUAAAGAUGGC
ensembl:lncRNA